rnacentral:rRNA from 1 species
UACGAGGGGGGCGAGCGUUGUUCGGAAUUAUUGGGCGUAAAGGGUGCGUAGGCGGCCUGACAAGUCUGAUGUGAAAUCCCUGGGCUCAACCCAGGGCCUGCAUCGGAAACUGUCGGGCUUGAGUAUGGGGAGAGGUGAGUGGAAUUUCCGGUGUAGCGGUGAAAUGCGUAGAUAUCGGAAGGAACACCUGUGGCGAAAGCGGCUCACUGGACCAUUACUGACGCUGAGGAGAAAAGCU